GCUCCUUCUUUGCCGAUCCGGCUAAGAUCAAGUGUAGUAUCUGUUCUUUUCAGUUUGACCGCUGGAACGUCGACCACGCUGUCGACAACUCUUUUCAAACGUGUUUUUGGAACCUAGCGGGAUGCAGGGUAGAUCGACCGCUGGGCGAUGCCCAUUGUCCGUACCUGGUACUCGCACUGUGUCACCGGUCCUGCACUGCCUCCGGCUGACGCGACUUUUU
rnacentral:snRNA from 1 species